rnacentral:rRNA from 1 species
GGGGUAACAGCCCACCAAGGCAGCGAUCAGUAGCCGGCCUGAGAGGGUGAACGGCCACAUUGGGACUGAGACACGGCCCAAACUCCUACGGGAGGCAGCAGUGGGGAAUAUUGCACAAUGGGGGGAACCCUGAUGCAGCGACGCCGCGUGAGUGAAGAAGUAUUUCGGUACGUAAAGCUCUAUCAGCAGGGAAGAAAAUGACGGUACCUGACUAAGAAGCCCCGGCUAACUACGUGCCAGCAGCCGCGGUAAUACGUAGGGGGCGAGCGUUAUCCGGAUUUACUGGGUGUAAAGGGAGCGUAGACGGCAGCGCAAGUCUGGAGUGAAAUGGCGGGGCCCAACCCCGGAACUGCUUUGGAAACUGUGCAGCUUGAGUGCAGGAGAGGUAAGCGGAAUUCCUAGUGUAGCGGUGAAGUGCGUAGAUAUUAGGAGGAACACCAGUGGCGAAGGCGGCUUACUGGACUGUAACUGACGUUGAGGCUCGAAAGCGUGGGGAGCAAACAGGAUUAGAUACCCUGGUAGUCCACGCCGUAAACGAUGAUUACUAGGUGUCGGGGGACCAAGGUGCUCCGGUGCCGGCGCAAACGCAUUAAGUAAUCCACCUGGGGAGUACGUUCGCAAGAAUGAAACUCAAAGGAAUUGACGG